rnacentral:lncRNA from 1 species
GGCCUUGCUCUUAUGUCAUCUGACUAAAGGUUUCAUAGACCAAAGAUAACCAUCCAACCUGUUGGAAUACUGAAACAAUUGCUGCCUGCUUUCCACACACUACAUAAAAUAUGUGGAUAUCCUAAAUUCUACAAAAAAAGAUUUGUAAGCAAAUCAAGCAAUACUGGGACUCCCUCUUCUCCAGAAGAGACAUCCUGGCCUCCAAGCAGAGGAAUGUGUGGAUAGACAUAUAUUUAAGGAAGACACUAAACCAGAAAAUACUACAUUACACCCUCUUAAAAGACUUCUAAGAUUGUUGUCAUGCCUACCACUGACAUUCAGAUGAUGUGUAUUCUUGAUUGUGAUUUCAUGUUUGGAGCUGAUGAAGGAGUUUGAAGUCUCCAGAGCAGCAAGGAGAGUGGGGAGUAGAACUCAUCAUCUUUAGGUCACUCAUCACCG